UACGUAGGGGGCAAGCGUUGUCCGGAAUCAUUGGGCGUAAAGCGCGCGUAGGCGGCCAGACAGGUCCGUUGUGAAAACUAGAGGCUUAACCUCUAGACGUCGAUGGAAACCGUCUGGCUAGAGUCCGGAAGAGGAGAAUGGAAUUCCUGGUGUAGCGGUGAAAUGCGCAGAUAUCAGGAAGAACACCCGCGGCUAAGGCGGUUCUCUAGUACGGUACUGACGCUGAGACGCGAAAGCGUGGGGAGCGAACAGG
rnacentral:rRNA from 1 species